GUGGGGAAUCUUAGACAAUGGGGGAAACCCUGAUCUAGCCAUGCCGCGUGGACGAUGAAGGCCUUAGGGUUGUAAAGUCCUUUCAGCUGGGAAGAUAAUGACGGUACCAGCAGAAGAAGCCCCGGCUAACUCCGUGCCAGCAGCCGCGGUAAUACGGAGGGGGCUAGCGUUGUUCGGAAUUACUGGGCGUAAAGCGCACGUAGGCGGACUGGAAAGUUGGGGGUGAAAUCCCAGGGCUCAACCCUGGAACUGCCUUCAAAACUAUCAGUCUGGAGUUCGAGAGAGGUGAGUGGAAUUCCGAGUGUAGAGGUGAAAUUCGUAGAUAUUCGGAGGAACACCAGUGGCGAAGGCGGCUCACUGGCUCGAUACUGACGCUGAGGUGCGAAAGCGUGGGGAGCAAACAGGAUUAGAAACCCUAGUAGUCC
rnacentral:rRNA from 1 species